UUUGUCAGUGCGCUCGUAACUCGCGCCGUGAACGGAACGAUAUUAUUGUUUUUUUUUUUAUUUAUGCGAGUAUUUUAACUCGCGGAUGUUUCUCUUUCUCUCUCUCUCUCUUUUUCUUUCUCUUUCUAUUUCUCUCUCUCUCGCAUACACACACUCUAUGUUUUUCUAUCACGGGACAUCAAUUUCGUUAUUGAAUAGAUAAAAAUAGAGAGAGAUAAAGAGAGAUAGAUGAUGAUAUUUCAUCUCACUCAGUCAGUAGAUGGUUACUUAACUUUAAAGUGUGUUGUUACUUGUAUCUUUCGGCAUUCGAUCAUCUUCAAGUUGGUCCUUCCUGAAAAACUGGAAUGUCACGUUGCACUACUUUUGAAAGUACAGGGAAUCUCGUGAGAAUCGGAAAGAAGGACUGUUUAAGGGUUGUUACAGAAGAAUAUAGACGAGGUUGCAUAAUUGGAAAUGCGCUUCGUAUACUUCGAGAGGAUUUCCUAGAAAGGAAUAAAAUUUGUGGAAAGGGUGUGGUUGACAAAGAAGAAGAAGAAGAAGAAGAAGAAAAAGAAGAAGAAGAAGGGGGAGAAGGUGAAGAAGGAUUGGUCGAAAUAAUGCGAGCGAAGCGAAUCAGAAAAGAAAUCCGCUUCAGAUUGCUAAGAUAUCGAGAGUGCGUCGAGUAUCGUAAAAACUCGUCUAACAUCAUAAACCUGAGACACCUUAAGGAAAGGGAAGAGGGGACGAACGAGGAAGAGGAGGAAGAUAGAUUGAA